GUCCGCCUCACCGCGUGUACUGGUCCGGCCGGGCCUUUCCUUCUGGGGAGCCGCAUGCCCUUCACUGGGCGUGUUGGGGAACCAGGACUUUUACUUUGAAAAAAUUAGAGUGUUCAAAGCAGGCCUUUGCUCGAAUACAUUAGCAUGGAAUAAUAGAAUAGGACGUGCGGUUCUAUUUUGUUGGUUUCUAGGACCGCCGUAAUGAUUAAUAGGGAUAGUCGGGGGCAUCAGUAUUCAAUUGU
rnacentral:rRNA from 1 species